AGUGAACGCUGGCGGUAGGCCUAACACAUGCAAGUCGAACGGCAGCACAGUAAGAGCUUGCUCUUACGGGUGGCGAGUGGCGGACGGGUGAGGAAUACAUCGGAAUCUACUUUUUCGUGGGGGAUAACGUAGGGAAACUUACGCUAAUACCGCAUACGACCUACGGGUGAAAGCAGGGGAUCUUCGGACCUUGCGCGAUUGAAUGAGCCGAUGUCGGAUUAGCUAGUUGGCGGGGUAAAGGCCCACCAAGGCGACGAUCCGUAGCUGGUCUGAGAGGAUGGUCAGCCACACUGGAACUGGGACACGGUCAAGACUCCUACGGGAGGCAGCAGUGGGGAAUAUUGGACAAUGGGCGCGAGCCUGAUCCAGCCAUACCGCGUGGGUGAAGAAGGCCUUCGGGUUGUAAAGCCCUUUUGUUGGGAAAGAAAAGCAGCGGGUUAAUACCCCGCUGUUCUGACGGUACCCAAAGAAUAAGCACCGGCUAACUUCGUG
rnacentral:rRNA from 1 species